rnacentral:lncRNA from 1 species
ACUAAAUAAAAAUAAAAAUGUACACUUUCCUUUUAUUCAUACUAUUCAUUUUGACUUGCUUGUUUGUUUCUUUUUUUUUCUAUCAGAAUUUAAAAAGAGGCCAGGAAAUAAAUAAAAAUACAUGUCUAUACAUUUCAGAUGAUUUAAUGAUAAAAAAAAAAGCAAACAAAAGUGCAAUAAAAAAAUUAAUAAAAAAAAUGUCGAUAAAUACUUUCCAUUUAUAUUUUUUAAAAUGUUUUAAUAAUUAUAUUGAAACUCCUGUGGUAAUUUUAAAAAAAAAUUAUAUUCACAAAUGACAAAAGAAAUGUCAGCUUGUUUUUAUAAAUUUUUAUUUUUUUUGCUUUCUAUUGGUUUUGAUUUUUUUUUACAUAUGUAUAGAUACACCACCAUGUGCAUAAUUGCUUAUUAUAUGUGCAUGUAUGUAUAACAUAUAUAUAACUACAUGUUUUUCCGUAUUUCCUUUCCUUUUCUUUCGGUCAGGUUUUGUCUUUGCUAAGGGGUGAUGAAGAAGAUGUUAUAAUCGGUUUAAAAUACCUAUUAGAAAAUAUAGAUCAAAUAAACUUUUUAAUUGUAAAUUCAUUAAAUAAAUUAAAAAAAAAAAAAAAAAUUAAAAGUAAUCAAGUAAUUUUACAUUUAAUCAAUUUUGUAUUGAAAAAGUUAUGUGAGAGUAAUUUAAAUUAUAGUUAUAAAAAAAACCCAAUUAUUAGAUUUUUAUGACAAUCUGAUGUAUAAUAAAAAUACAUUUUUUGAGUCAGGCAUAAUGAACGAUGCACUUAACGUGAAAGAUCUUAGACUUUUAUAUAUAUACAAACACAAUAUAAAAAUAAAAAAAGAAAAAAAUUUUAUUAAACACGUUGACAACAUUUAUAAUAAAGGAGAUAAUAUAUUUCACCCUAUCUCUUAUUUAUACAAUAACAAUAAUGAUAUGUUUACAAAUAUGAUUAAACAUGAUUUUCGAAUAAAUAGAAAUGGUUAUAAAUUGAGUAAAAAACAUUUAAAUAAAAAAAAAAAAAAAAUGUUAACUGGAGAAAUACCUAUACCUAAUAAAUAUAUAGGAAUCUACAACUGCUUCAAAAAAAAAUCAGUGUUUGAUAAUGGAUUUUCUCACAUAUUUAAUAUGAAAAAAAAAAAAAAAAUAAAUAAUUUUAAAAAAAUUGUAAAACAAAACAUAAAUGAUAAAAAAAAAGUGUAAUUUAGUAACUGAUGAUAUAUGUAAUUGCAUUCCAAAUAUAAUUGUAAAUAUAAACAAUGACGCUAAGCUUCGGUAAUUUUACAUACACAUACAUAUACAAUAUAUGCAUAUACAUACACAUACGUACACAUACAUACAUAUACAUACAUACACAAUACAUAUGCUCAUAUUAUAUGUCGAAAUGUACAAAUAUAUACCAACAUGCAUGUAUACAUAUAUACAUACGUAUGCAUUUUACAUACACUUAACAGCGAAAGGGUUAAUGUAGCAAAAAAAAGAAAUAAAAAAUGUAAAAAAUAUUUUGAUUAAAAUAAA